rnacentral:rRNA from 1 species
CAUCUAAGUACCCCGAGGAAAAGAAAUCAACCGAGAUUCCCCCAGUAGCGGCGAGCGAACGGGGAGCAGCCCAGAGCCUGAAUCAGUGUGUGUGUUAGUGGAAGCGUCUGGAAAGGCGCGCGAUACAGGGUGACAGCCCCGUACACAAAAAUGCACAUGCUGUGAGCUCGAUGAGUAGGGCGGGACACGUGGUAUCCUGUCUGAAUAUGGGGGGACCAUCCUCCAAGGCUAAAUACUCCUGACUGACCGAUAGUGAACCAGUACCGUGAGGGAAAGGCGAAAAGAACCCCGGCGAGGGGAGUGAAAAAGAACCUGAAACCGUGUACGUACAAGCAGUGGGAGCCUCUUUUAUGGGGUGACUGCGUACCUUUUGUAUAAUGGGUCAGCGACUUAUAUUCUGUAGCAAGGUUAACCGAAUAGGGGAGCCGAAGGGAAACCGAGUCUUAACUGGGCGUUAAGUUGCAGGGUAUAGACCCGAAACCCGGUGAUCUAGCCAUGGGCAGGUUGAAGGUUGGGUAACACUAACUGGAGGACCGAACCGACUAAUGUUGAAAAAUUAGCGGAUGACUUGUGGCUGGGGGUGAAAGGCCAAUCAAACCGGGAGAUAGCUGGUUCUCCCCGAAAGCU